CUACUUUUGAAUAAGUAUACUCCUGUGACAUGUGGUUAUAUAAUUCACUAAUCUCUUAAAAAUUUUCUAUUCUGACAUGUGGUAAUUAGAGUUCUAAGAAUAACAGAACUAUUUUCCUAAACCUUAGAAAUUUUAAUUAAUCCCGAGGGAGACCAGAACUCUACACUGAUAAGACUCCUACUGACGCCUGAAAAGUGCUUUUUCUGAAGCAAUAAUUACCCCUCUUUAAAGGACCUCUUAAGUCAUUUCAUAACUGUCAUUAGCUUCUAACUCUCUGGUCAUCUCCUUCGUCUCCAAAACCCUCAAAAAUUCCCAAAAUUUCCUAAAGCCUUCCACAAAUUCAUCAUCCAAAAUGACAAAUCCUCAAGACAAUCCAGGAACCCCACCUCCAGUGUCACCCAACACCACCUCAUCCUCUACUCUGUCAUAUUGAAUCCCCAAAACCAGGAUUUCGUCGAACAAAAAUGAUAGCCAGAAAAGCAGUGGCGAGUGGACCUUUAAGAAAAACUUUAAACGAAAGGCUGAAAGCAAGUCAAAAGAAGGAACCUCAAGCAAAGGUCACUGAGUUCAGCUCAGAGUCAGAUCAAUAUACCCCUGCAAUCGAGGGAGAUGAACCUAGGUCUUCUAAGAAAUUUCCGCCUCAAGAAAAUCCAACAGAGGUAAGAUCCCAUCCUGUUUCGGUGAUUGUAGGUGAAAAGGUAGAAAAUAAUAUGUUUUGGUGGGGGUUGUUAAGAACAUUUCUGGGUAUGAGUCAAUAGAACAAAUGAAUAAAAGGAGGAAGAAUGUGUUAUCUAUCUGUGGAAGUGGGGGAAAUAGGGCAUCACAUUCAGGGGGAAGUGAAUCUGGGGAAGCUGUUGAGGGGUUGGUAGAUUUAAGUAAACAAACUGGUCCAUCAGUGGAGGAGACCUUGGCUGACCUGAUGAAGAAGGUGGGGGAUAGCUAUGACCCCAAGAAAUGAAAGUUCUCUUAUCAGUGGAGGAGACGUUGUGCUGACCUAUUGAAGAAGGUAAGGGAUAGCUAUGACCCCAAGAAACAAAAUUUCUCUUCCCUUAAAACUCCUGCUGCUGCAAAACCAUCAAAGAAAUCCAAGACUGCAUCCUCCAAGGUUGCACCUAGGGCUAGAACAACAAGAAGCAAAGUAAGAGAGAGUGAAGCUGAGUUAAAGAGGGCACUGGAAGAGAGUAUGAAGAAAAGACUAGAGAAAGGAAAGGGAAAGGUUGGUGAGAAUUCAGAAACUGUGGCUGAGGAGGACGAAGAGGUGAUGGAACAGGUCCAUCCAGCGAAACAAACUGAGAAGGCUCCUAUUGCAAAAUCCAAGGAGACUAAGACUUCUUCCAAGAAGUCUUCAAAACCUGUACCUGUUGAGUCCUCCCUUGCAAAGAGAACAAGAUCUUCCUCUAAAGGCAAACAAGUGAAAAUGGUUGUAGAAGAAGAAGAAAGUGAUGAAGAAGAAGAAGAUGAUUCAGAGAAUGAGCAGGAUCGAUAUGCCAACUUUGGCAAAAGAAAGAUUCUGAAGGGUAGGAUGCUGAAAGACUUGGAGGAGCCAUUUAUGAUGAGGCUUCUAAUAUAUCUGGAAGCUCAAGGUUGAAAGGACAUGGUCCUUCAGUUGAAUGGGAGACUAGCUAGGAAGGAACUGGUUGAGUUCAUGGCAAAUGGGUCAGUGAAAAAUGGUCUGGUAACAAGUUAUGUUAAGGGGGUCAAGGUAAAGUUUGAUGCUAAGAAGCCGGGGGAGAUUUUGAAUAUCCCUUGUGAGGGAUAUGAUGAUUACACAAGGCAAAGAUGGCCUUGUUUGGAUGGUAUACCUUCAGAAUUGCAGAUUACUAGAACUUUUUGUGAUACUACAUCAGAGGCACAAGUGCAUGAGGCCAGGGCAGUGCAAAGAGUGAGAUGAGGCCUGAGCACUAGGUGCUCUUUGAGUUUGUCGACAAAUGCCUCAUGCCCACACAUGAAAGAAGACAUACUGCUAAUUAUAUGGACCUUUUGCUCAUGCAGUGCUUGACUGAAAGUAAGCAAAUCAACUGGCCUGUAUUCAUGGUAAAGCUGCUGGAAAGGGUAAUCAAUGGUUCAAAGGCCCAUGCCAUCCCCUAUGGAUUUAUUUUGACUAUUGUGCUUGAAA
rnacentral:lncRNA from 1 species